GACAGAGGUGCCGAGCGUUAGGCGGAAUCACUGGGCUUAAAGCGUGUGUAGGCGGGUCGUUAAGUGCUUUGUGAAAUCCCCCGGCUCAACCGGGGAACUGCUUGGCAGACUGGCGACCUUGAGCCACCUAGGGGCAACUGGAACGAACGGAGGAGCGGUGAAAUGCGUAGAUAUCGUUCGGAACGCCAAUGGUGAAAACAGGUUGCUGGGGGUGUGCUGACGCUGAGACACGAAAGCCAGGGGAGCGAACGGG
rnacentral:rRNA from 1 species